UACGGGGGGGGCAAGCGUUGUUCGGAAUUACUGGGCGUAAAGGGUUUGUAGGUGGCCAACUAAGUCAGACGUGAAAUCCCUCGGCUUAACCGGGGAACUGCGUCUGAUACUGGAUGGCUCGAGUUUGGGAGAGGGAUGCGGAAUUCCAGGUGUAGCGGUGAAAUGCGUAGAUAUCUGGAGGAACACCGGUGGCGAAGGCGGCAUCCUGGACCAACACUGACACUGAAAAGCGAAAGCCAGGGGAGCAAACAGG
rnacentral:rRNA from 1 species